CCUACGGGAGGCUGCAGUGGGGAAUAUUGGACAAUGGGCGAAAGCCUGAUCCAGCCAUGCCGCGUGUGUGAAGAAGGCCUUCGGGUUGUAAAGCACUUUCAGUGGGGAAGAAAGCCUUGGGGCUAAUACCCUCGAGGAAGGACAUCACCCACAGAAGAAGCACCGGCUAACUCCGUGCCAGCAGCCGCGGUAAUACGGAGGGUGCGAGCGUUAAUCGGAAUUACUGGGCGUAAAGCGCGCGUAGGCGGUCUGAUAAGCCGGUUGUGAAAGCCCCGGGCUCAACCUGGGAACGGCAUCCGGAACUGUCAGGCUAGAGUGCAGGAGAGGAAGGUAGAAUUCCCGGUGUAGCGGUGAAAUGCGUAGAGAUCGGGAGGAAUACCAGUGGCGAAGGCGGCCUUCUGGACUGACACUGACGUUGAGGUGCGAAAGCGUGGGUAGCAAACAGGAUUAGAUACCCCAGUAGUC
rnacentral:rRNA from 1 species